GAAUAGUAGCCCUGAGCCUCCCACGGAGCUCUGAACCCUGAGCCUCUGUCUAUGGCAUAAAAAAAUGAAGGCAGCCAGUUCCAAGUAGUGUGCCCUUUGAUCAGCUCCCAAGGGUGCGACCCGCCUUCAGGGUAAAGGGAAAGCCUGGAGGUCAGGAAGCAGGCUCCUGAGGGCUUCUGGGGAAGGUACUCAUCUACCACCGUUUUGACAGCUCUCUGGAUGUAACUCUUCAUCAAACAUCCCACAAGCCAUUCCACAUAGUCACCAACAUCCCAGAGACAGACCUGGACCGACUACAGAGUCUUUGUAGCCUUGUCUGGCCUGCAUAUGAGGCUACGCUUGAACUCACACGGAGACGCCGCCUGCUUCUGGCUCCUGUGCUGGGAUCAGAGGCUUCUGCAAAGAGAGUCCCAGCCUUGCCAGGAGGCGGAAGUGACUGAGCUGCUAGAUCCUUCAAAGUGGAGACAUCCAGAAGACAGACAACUUGGCCAGCGGGAAAUGAAGGUGAAGAGAAACUGAGGAGAUUGGAAUCUAGUGCUGAAUUUGCAUUCGAUGCCGAGCCUAGGAGAUAGAAACUCAUAUUUGCCCAGUUGGAGCUCGGGUUCCAUAUGAAGCUGAAGCUGCUCUUGAACUGAUCCUCCGGCCUUCCCUUCCUGUCAUGAUGAGCCCUUCAUUCAGGGCUUAUACCCCUGCCCCUCAUCUGGACCUCCCCGAUCUUGCCCAGUGCCCAGCUCCUGGGCCAUCCACCCAGAAACAUUCACUGAAGCCCUCCUGUGAACCUGGCCAGCACCUGAGACAGUCAUGCAAGGAACACAGAGACUGGAAGUUAUGAUCUGAGUCCUCAGGAAUCUCAUGCCAGCCAGAUGUACAGACAGGAGGAACGACACAUAUGGGAGUCAGUACUCUGGUGGGUGGCACUGAUGUGACAGGUGAUGGGGAACAGAAGACACAGGUUGCUACUGUUCUUUGUGAAGCAGUCAGCGCUCGCUCGGCACUGGUUGAUUUCAUUGGAGGUGAGGGGGCAGUGAGAUAGAAGGAAAAUGGCCUGGGAGAAGAAGCCUUGAGUUCUAGUCCCAGGUUCACAAUUCUAGUUGUGUAACUUGGUAAUUCCUUAAGUCACACAAGCUUCACUUUUCUCAUUUACCCCUUCCUUGUAAAUUCGUGGUGGUAACCAUUGAGAUAAUAUAGGCAAUGCUUUAAAGAA
rnacentral:lncRNA from 1 species